ACUAUUUUUAAAUUUUUCAUUUUCAAAAUUUUAAGAUUUAUUUUCUAUUUUAUAAAAUUUUAAACCUCAAACCCAAAUCUCCACCCCUUAACUCUAAACCCUAAAGUUUGUAUUAGUUAUAAGUGUAUAUUUACCUUUUUAAUGAAAUAUUUUGGUUAUUUUGAUUCAUAGAGUCUAUAUUUGUGAUAGAAACUUUUUUAGUGCUAUCUUAGGAUAUUUCCCUUUAUAAUUGGUCAAAAAUUUCAAAUGACAUUAAAUUUUACCUAGAAUUGUGAGAACAUCACUUAUUUUGAAACAAAAUCAAAAUUCUUAAACAUCAAUUAAAUUAAUACAAAACAUCAAUUAAAUUAAUACAGAGGGAGUAUGUUUUAUAUUUGUUCCAAGACUGUUUGGUGGCACAUCUAAAUUCUUACUCCAUAAAUAGUAGUUGUACACUUGUAUAUAGUGUGAUUCAAUAUUUUUUCCUAAAUCUUCCAUUUGUGUAAGCUCUGUUUUUUUUAAGACCUGGAUGUAGAAGCCUUUAAACCUUAACCAAUAGGCUACGGUGCUUCCACGUGUAAGCUCUGUUAGUCCAGCCGUUUAACUAAAGUUUCAUUAAUGCUUCUACACAAUGAUAUAUAGAGUUCAAACUUCAAAAAAUACAAAUUAUUAACAUUAUAAAAAAUUUAUAAAUCUUUUUUAGCAUGAUGGAGGACAUACCAUCGACAGAGAGGCCCUGAGCUGAAACUAAGGAAGCUUGGGCUUCUGGUCUUCAUCUCCUUUAUCAAUUUAACAGCCGAUAAAUAAACAAUCUCCUCUAUUAGCUUGGUGGUAAAUGAAAUCAAAAUUGUAAUAAAGGUGUAGUGUUCGACUUUCUACAAUAUAUUUCUUUUAUAAAAGACGUCUCUUAAUUUUUUUAGUUAAAAGCUAAGAGACCGUAUGUUAGAUUACGUCAAGAGACCCAACCUAAGAGACAUGCAAUAAACAUGCUCUUAUUUUUAAAAUUGCUUCCAGCCUUUAUGGGUCUGAUUGGUAAUGACUGUAGCUUUAAAAUUUUGCUGUAGAAAAAAAUCUGUAGAUUUUUUUGCUAUGGCUUUAGAUUUUAUUGCUUUAGAAAUCUUUAGAAUUUUAUAGAAAGCUCCAAAAAAUAGCUCUGGAGUUUUGGCUCUACAGAGUACUUGUACAACUGUAGAUCAUUUCAAGAGUUUUGAUUUUGAAAUUUUUAUUAAAUCUUGAUUGUAGUGAAUUUAAUGCUGUAAAAAUAAAUAGAGCGGUGGACAUAACCUACAACCACUACCAAUCACAUCCUAUAUUUUCAAGGCCGGUUCCAUCGGAUAUGGAUCUCAUAGGAUGGUUCAGAAUGGUGCAGUCAUACCUUAUUAUCAUAAGGUGGUAGAAUUGUCGAUUGUAUAAUUUUCUUUGUAAUAUUUCUCAUUGUUGUAAUAUCAUAAUUAACCGUACGUUAAAAAAAUCUUCUGUGUUUUAAAUUUUGAGAGAUUCACUAGAUUAUUACCCGCAUAACAACACAUUAUGAGAUUUUUUUUAAAUUAAUACUAGGCUAAACCUUCGCUUUGCACAUAUGAACAUUAUAUAUUUACAAAUUAUUAUAUAUAUAUAUAAUUUAUUUGUGUUCAUUUACAUAUUAUUAAAUAAUAAUAAUAAUAAUUGAAUGUAUAGUAACUAUUAUGUAUAUAACUAAACUAGAGUAAUCAUAUAAAUCAAGACAAUCAUUUUUGUUUAUUUAAAACAAUUUUUCUUGGUAAAUAAAUGAAAACAAUAAUUUUUAUUUAUUUAUAUGGUAUAUAAUUAAAUUAAAUGAUAUUGACAUAGAUAUAGUAUAUUUUAAUAUGAGUAUUUAUUAAAUGAGGUUUCAUACUCGUAUGAUUUUAUAACAUUUGUAUAUUUAUUGUAAAAAAUUAAACCAUUAAUCACACAGAAAAAUUAAUGGAAGGUGUUUUAUAGUUUUUGUAGUUUAUUAUAGUUUUAAAAAUUAAUGCAAAUUUUUAAUUGAAAUAUUAAGAUUUCAAUACUUUUUCAAUGCAAAUUUCUAAAUUAACAUAUUUAUGUAUCUUUGUAUGGUAUAUAGUUUAAUUUAAAUGAUACAUAUAUAUAUAUAUAUAUGUAUUAAUAUCUAUUGAAUGGACUUCAUAUUCAUAUGAUUUUAUGAUCAUUUGUAUGUUGCUAUAACAAAAAGAUAAAAUAUUUCUCAUAAAAUUUUCAAAGUGAAAUUUUAAGAAUGUUCGUAAUUUAUAACCAAUUUUUUUUUAAAAAAUAAGAUAUAAGAUAUAAGAAAAACUCUAAAUUUAUAUUAUAUGAUUAAUGUGAUUGUUUAAUUUAUUUUAAUAAUAUAAAAACUAAAAGAAAAUGAUGGAGGAUAUAAAAAUUAUUAUCAAAUAUUUAUUAUUCAUAAUUGUCAUAUAUGUUAAUCAUAUUAGGUAAUUUAUUAUAUUUUAUUUAAGGAAAGAAUGAAUAAUAUUGUUUAUGCACUAAUAAUAAAUUUGAUAUUUAGUUUAAUAAGAAUAUAAUAUAUGCUUAGAUUGAUAAACCUAUUUUUUAAAAGUUAUAAAAAUCAUCUGAGUUAUAACACGUGACUAUAUCAAAUGUUGUAAUGUUUCUCAAUUAAUAUAUAAGUGAUAAAAAUUAUGUGAUGUUAAUAUAUAAUUAUAUAGUAAGAUAACUUAAUACUUAUGGUAGAAUAUUAACGGUUUUGUAAUCAAAAUUUAAUGUUGAAAUAUGCAAUUUAUUCUCACAUUAACCAAAGAUAUUUUGAAAACUUAGCAUACGAGUUCAUCAUCUUACUAAAACAAAAACAUUGUUAAAUUUUUUGAUCUUACGUAUAUUACAAAAAUUGUGUGCCACUAAAUUUUUUGUACAUGUUCAUCAUCUCAAUAAACUAUUUUAAUAUUUUUUGUUUUAUAUAUAUAAAAUAUAUAUAUGUUCUUAUUAUGAUAAGUUUUAUAAAAUAAUUAAUAAAAAAAUUCGUAAUUAUUAUUCAAUUAUUAUAAAUAAUAAAUAUUUUUUUUAGAAAAACACUUAAUAUGUUUAAUUUUAUAAUAUUUAAUUUAAAUAAUUACAUAAAUAUAAUAUAAAUUCAUGAAUUUUACACUAUAAUUUUAUUUAUUAAAAAGUAUAAGAAACCAAAUACUUAAAUAAAUAAUAGCUAAUUUUAAUUAUUGAAAAAUUACAAUUAAAAUAUUGAAAUUUAGAUAUACAUAUAGAUACAUAUUUGAUAAAAUUGAAAUAAUAGAUUUUACUUAAUAGUUUAUUACUUCAUUUGUUUCACAAUGAAUAUCAAAAAAUAAAUUAUCUGAAAUGUUUUAAGGGCAAAUCUCCAAAAUAACACUUUUCUAAGUUUAUAUCACAAAAUAGCACUCAAAAACUAAAAUGACCAAAAUAGCAUUUUAUCUUUUGAAAAAUUUAAAUUUUUUUAUUUUUCAAAAUUUGAAAUCUUAUCCCCAAAACCUCACUUCUCAACUCUAAACCCUAAAACCUAAACUCUAAACCCUAAACCCUAAAUUCUAAACCCUAAACCCCACCCCUUGAGUGCUAUUUUUGUGACUUUUGGCCUUGAGUGCUAGUUUGGAAACAAAAACUUGAUUUAGUGAUAUUUUAGUCUUUUUCUCAUGUUUUAAACUAAAAGGACAUCGCUAAAUCAAUACCCCGCUGAGAAAUUUUGUAAAAAUACUUAUUUUAUUUAAAAUAUCAACGAUACUAUUAAGUAAUGCCAAAAAGAUUGUUACAAAUUAAUAGAAACUAGAGUUUAAUCCGCAAGUCUUUAAUCAUAUUAGUUAGAUUUCUUAUUACACUAGGGGGUGUUCGCGCUUCACGCGGAAUAUUGUUUUAUUAUUGUUAAGAGGAUGAUUUGGUGUUUUUAGUGUGGUAUGUAAUAGUAGGAGAUAGAUUAAUAUAUUUUGUGUCUGUUUUUUUUUUUUUUUUGAAUAAUGUGUUAUUAUGUGUAUAGUACUUGUUAGUAGUGAGUGAGCCUCUAACGUAAAAGAAUAUUGAAUUUUAAUAACUUUGUUGAAUCUAAGAAUUUGUUGUAGAUCAGGUUUAUGAGUUUUCAGUUGUUCGGUUGAUUCUCACGGCAUUGUAGGCUAUUCGAUUCAAUAUUGACUGCUCUUCUUCUUCCUUAGAUUUCAGCUGAUGUUAGGAACUGCAUCUCCUUUGUUGGGUCAGAGUUUAGUCGUCUUUGAUGUUGUAUUCUUCGUCUUUGACUUACCGUCAGUCUCUGUUCGUCUUGGUUUUCAAGAUCUAGUUUUUGGUGUUCUGGCUUCUAUACUCUCUUUCAUAGCUCGAGUACGGAUCUAUAGUUUGCUGAUUUCAUUUCGUCUCCCUUUCUCUCUCUAUUCUCGUAUCUCUUUGCAGCUUUCAUCGCAUCUCUGGUGGCUCUCCCUUUCACCAUGUUUGCCACUCGAGGUUUGGAUAAUGUUUUCGUUCGUGUAUGCUAUGUAGGGUUGGCAGGUUAUUAUUGGUCUCAAGUUUAGUCUUUGAUUUUUUGGUGGUUGUCUUCCAUUUUCCCUCCCUCAAGUUGUUUAUUUUAUUUCCAUGUUUCCCUUGGUAUAAGUGUACAAAGUUAGUCUCUUGGAGCUUUGGUCUCUUUUAUCCAGAGCUUUGUGGUUUUUCACUUACAUGGCCGUCUUGUAUGUUCUUGUUUAGUUUGUGAAGUGUUUCUUACAUUUUAGCUGGUUGUGAUUUCAAUGCUUUAGGUAUAUGUCUUCUUUCUUCUUGGUGGCUUUGGCCUUUCGAUUAUUAUUCUCCAUCUGGUCCGUUUUCUUGGUUAUUUGUGUUGGUGCUCUAGUUUCUUAUUCUUAGUUUGAUUAUCUUAUGAUAUUAAUAAUGAAAUAAAUAUAUUAUUUGUAAAUGAAAUAAUAAAAAUUAGUAAAAAUAAUAAAAUGGUGAAAGUUUAUGCUAUUUUUAGUUGUGAAUAAAUUAAAUAUUUAAAAUAUAUUUAUAUUAUUUUAUUUAUUUCUUGAAUUUUAGGGACCAAUAAGUGUGAAAAGAUUAAAUAAUACAUAAUUAGAAAUUGAUGGAGGAAAUUGCAAUAAUCUAAAAGAAGAAAAAAAAUAUGAGGACACAUGUCAACAAACCCCCAUUCCACAUGUCAUAA